UACGUAGGGUGCAAGCGUUAAUCGGAAUUACUGGGCGUAAAGCGUGCGCAGGCGGUUUUGUAAGCCAGAUGUGAAAUCCCCGGGCUUAACCUGGGAAUGGCAUUUGGGACUGCAAGGCUUGAGUGCGGCAGAGGAGACUGGAAUUCCUGGUGUAGCGGUGAAAUGCGUAGAUAUCUGGAGGAACACCGGUGGCGAAGGCGGCAUCCUGGACCGGGAUUGACACUGAGGCGCGAAAGCCAGGGGAGCAAACGGG
rnacentral:rRNA from 1 species